UGAACGCUGGCGAGAUGCCUUACACAUGCAAGUUGUACGAGAAUUUUUAAUUCAAGUAGCGGACGGGUGAGUAACACGUAAGAAUUUGCCUUUAGGAGGGGGAUAACAACUGGAAACAGUUGCUAAUACCCCAUAUGCUUUCGAGUGAAAUGGAUUUUUCCGCCUAGAGAGAAGCUUGCGGCUGAUUAGCUUGUUGGUGAGGUAAUGGCUCACCAAGGCGACGAUCAGUAUCUGGUUUGAGAGGAUGAUCAGACACACUGGAACUGAGACACGGUCCAGACUCCUACGGGAGGCAGCAGUGGGGAAUUUUCCGCAAUGGGCGAAAGCCUGACGGAGCAAUCUCGCGUGAGGGAUGACGGCCUAUGGGUUGUAAACCUCUUUUUUCAGGGAGGAAUAAAAUGACGUGUACCUGAAGAAUAAGCAUCGGCUAACUCC
rnacentral:rRNA from 1 species